rnacentral:lncRNA from 1 species
UCGAGCCACUGCACUCCAGCCUGGGCAACAAAGCGAGACUCUGCUCAAAACAAAACAAAAAAAGUCAUCUGCAUUUGUGAGUAUUCACCCUUGGCAGCACAGAGAAACUCCAGUUUAGCUCAGUUGAGAUCAUUUAAUGAGACAUUUAUGGAACACCUUAAUAUGGGGCAGGUACUGAGGAGGGCGAGGGACCAGGGUCCAUGAUGAAGGAAACAUGGCUGACGUUCUCAAGGAGUCCAUGGUCUAGUGGAUAUUCAGUAUCCAUGACUGCACAAGUUACCUCAAAAUGCAGCAGCUUAAAACAGCACCAGUUAUUUAUUAACUCAAAUGGUUUCUGUGUGUCAGGAAUCUCAGAGUAUAUUCGCUGGGUGGUUCUUAGGAUUCCUCAUGAGGUUGCAGUCAUCUGAAUACUUGCUCUGGGAUGUAAGAUCUAAUUCUAUGCUGGCUCCCACAUACAUGCCCGGCAGUUGAUGCCAGCUAUCAAUAAGAAGGCUCACGUUUUUGCCACUCCAGAAGUCUGCUUGAGAGUCUUUACAACAUGCUGGCUUCCCCCAAAGUGAGUGGUCCCAAAGACAGCAAGGUGGAGGCAAGGUUAUCUUGAAAACUUGGCCUCAGAAGUAACAUGGCAUCAUUCCUGCAACAUCUUAUUGGUUAUAUAGUCGAGAGAAAAAUAUAGUUUUAAAAAUUGUGCUACUACAGAAAGUCUGCAAAAUGCAAUGAAAACGAGAAAACUAGAAUACAUGUACCCAGAGAUAAAAUAACGUUACUGGGAAUCCUCCGUGCUGAAUGAAACAGCCUCAAAAUUCUUACCAAGACUUCUUCAUUCAAACACCUGGUUAGAGCCAACUAUGAGCAAGCACAUGCUAAGAAUUGGGAAGCAGAAAGAAGAGCCGAGGGGUCCAUCCACGUAGGCUCCACACUGCAGUGGCAAGUGAGACAUACAUCCACCAAUACCCAUGCAUCAAAGGUAUUUAACAAAUAAGUACACAAGGAUCAAUGUCAUAAAAAAUGAAGUAACAGGUGGAAAGAUAACCUAUAGAAGGGGAACCCAAAUUUGAACAGAAUGCCAGGCCCAGAACACUUUCCUUGAGAUGCUAACUGAGCUCUAGAAGAAAGAUGAGGAAGGGAGAUUCCUAUUUCAGGUAACAUAGUGAACUAGACAACCUCAAAACCCUCACAGUGAAAACAUUUUGAAAAGUUAACAAGGAACAUAUAUGUGUGCGUGUGUGUGUGUGUGUGUGUGUGUGCGCACGCACGCAUAUAAAACUUAAGUUGGCAUCACAGCAAAAAUACAAAAAUGAAAAGCAAGUCCAAGUUGGAA